rnacentral:rRNA from 1 species
GACGAACGCUGGCGGCGUGCUUAACACAUGCAAGUCGAACGGAAAGGCCUUGCUUUUGUGGGGUGCUCGAGUGGCGAACGGGUGAGUAACACGUGAGUAACCUGCCCUUGACUUUGGGAUAACUUCAGGAAACUGGGGCUAAUACCGGAUAGGAGCUCCUGCUGCAUGGUGGGGGUUGGAAAGUUUCGGCGGUUGGGGAUGGACUCGCGGCUUAUCAGCUUGUUGGUGGGGUAGUGGCUUACCAAGGCUUUGACGGGUAGCCGGCCUGAGAGGGUGACCGGACACAUUGGGACUGAGAUACGGCCCAGACUCCUACGGGAGGCAGCAGUGGGGAAUAUUGCACAAUGGGCGGAAGCCUGAUGCAGCAACGCCGCGUGCGGGAUGACGGCCUUCGGGUUGUAAACCGCUUUCGCCUGUGACGAAGCGUGAGUGACGGUAAUGGGUAAAGAAGCACCGGCUAACUACGUG